rnacentral:rRNA from 1 species
CAGCAGCCGCGGGAAUACGUAGGUGGCGAGCGUUGUCCGGAUUUAUUGGGCGUAAAGGGAGUGUAGGCGGUCUUUUAAGUCUGAUGUGAAAGCCCACGGCUCAACCGUGGAGGGUCAUUGGAAACUGGGAGACUUGAGUGCAGAAGAGGAGAGCGGAAUUCCAUGUGUAGCGGUGAAAUGCGUAGAUAUAUGGAGGAACACCAGUGGCGAAGGCGGCUCUCUGGUCUGUAACUGACACUGAGGCGCGAAAGCGUGGGGAGCAAACAGGAUUAGAUACCCGCGUAGUCCCUGUCUCUUAUAC